UACGCGUGCGUGUUAGCAGUCGCUCGUGUAGUUUAAUAACGAUACGCCCAAUUUCGCCGUCGAGUUUAAACCUUUUUUUUUUUUUUUUUGGUUUGGGGUAACGAUUCCAGUUUGAACAUUCAACAGCUGAAGGGAGAAGAAGAUCCGAACUCCUUGAUGACCAAAAAUGUCCUCCAUGAUUAACCAAUACCAGAUGCUUCAGAUCUCAUGUCCCCUCUACGUUGACGAACCAAAACUGUGCAGCAAUUGUGGCUUAUUAGUUUAGAGCGGCUGAGGAAGCAAGCAAGCGAGCGUUAUAUUUUUUCUUUUUUCUGGGAAAAAUACGCUCUCCAGACUCCAGAUUUCCGUAUCGAUUCGAUUCUUUCGACGCGUAUAUCUGCACUCUGGAGAAAGCCUGUGUGUUGAAGACGACGAACUACAUCGUACCUCGUUCUCAAUUUCUUUCAAUUUUGCCCGCUAGCUACAGAGCAUACGGUUAUUCCUUCUAUAUCGAGAUUGAACUCUCAGUUUCAUCGACUGCUAAUCUUUGUGUCAUUGCAGUGGAGUUCAUUUCUAGAAAUCAGAAUCAGAUCCUCGCCCUUUUCAGGAACAAUUGAAUUCUUCUGAGUUUAGGAAUUUUUUUUUUCUCCCGUUUUGCUGGAGGGUCGGAGAAGAGCUCCGAUCUGAGAAAUGAUUACUCGUUCUAAGCUCGUUGAGCAACUCAGAGACUAUCAGAUUCGAACACAGCACAAGUGGGCAGCGCUUAUUUUCUUCUCUCCCAAACCCCACAUCACUAACAGGGCUGAUGUCAUUGUAGCUCUCCUAUGGGCUCUACUGUUUAGUGUGCUUGUAGUGACCUCUUAUGUGACACUGUACUUCAAACACUUCCGAUUCUUGGUAGUUGUUAUAUGCUUCAGUAUCCUUCUUCCCACUUUCCUGCAUGUUUCUAGACAGAGGAGAUUGGCAAGGAAAAGGGAGAGAAGGUUGUUACUACCCUUGUCAAUGUGAACAUUAUAUUGCUAUGGAUAUUUACAAGGUUGUUGGCACGGUGACUUGCGCAAGAAAAAGAUUUUUGUUUGCCUCUUUUCCAAUGUAGCUUGUACAAGUAGCUUUGAGGAAAGACACUCACCAGCUCCCUUUAGUUGAUGCUAUGGUUUCUUUUUUCUACCGUCUUGGAUCUCAAACCUGUGAUAAUCAGACAAGACACCAUACAUUCUUGAUCCAUACCAAUUGUAUUCUUUUAUCAUGAUGGGUUGUAAAAUUUAACCCAGGUUUAAAGGUGGGUACUUCACUCAAGCGGAUCUUCUAUGGAGCAUUUUACUGGAUACAUCUUACUUUCAAAGUUGAGAAAAACUGGAAUUCUAGCACAGAGAGAGAGAGAGAGAGGGUUUUCAAGCUCUGGGUAUUGAUCACUGGGUGAACUAACUGGCUGCAGUACUCUCAGAGUCUGAGGCACUUAAAAGAAACAUGACAGAAUAUUUCUGCAUGGCUGUCUGAGAAAUGUAAUCCAACUAUAUUGAUGGUGUUGUUCUUCUCCAUGGAAUUGAAACUGUAUCAUUGAUCUAAAAUCUUUUUCUUUUUGGACAACAGCAUUCAAAACUUAAAAUUUGAA